GAUGAACGCUGGCGGCGUGCUUAACACAUGCAAGUCGAACGGUGAAGCAGAGCUUGCUCUGUGGAUCAGUGGCGAACGGGUGAGUAACACGUGAGCAACCUGCCCUGGACUCUGGGAUAAGCGCUGGAAACGGCGUCUAAUACUGGAUACGAGACGUGGCCGCAUGGUCAACGUUUGGAAAGAUUUUUUGGUUCAGGAUGGGCUCGCGGCCUAUCAGCUUGUUGGUGAGGUAAUGGCUCACCAAGGCGUCGACGGGUAGCCGGCCUGAGAGGGUGACCGGCCAUACUGGGACUGAGACACGGCCCAGACUCCUACGGGAGGCAGCAGGGGGGAAUAUUGCACAAUGGGCGAAAGCCUGAUGCAGCAACGCCGCGUGAGGGAUGACGGCCUUCGGGUUGUAAACCUCUUUUAGCAAGGAAGAAGCGAAAGUGACGGUACUUGCAGAAAAAGCGCCGGCUAACUACGUGCCAGCCGCCGCCGUAACAC
rnacentral:rRNA from 1 species